AGUGAUGGCUCAGUGAGGCUUUCGGACUGGCCCGGAGUGGGGGGCGACCCCCGCCCUGGGCCGGAAAGUUAUCCGAACUCGGUCAUUUAGAGGAAGUAAAAGUCGUAACAAGGUCUCCGUUGGUGAACCAGCGGAGGGAUCAUUACCGAGUUCCAUCUCGACAACCCUUUGUGAACCAAAACUAUUGUUGCUUCGGCGGCGCGGAACGCCUCUCGCAGGCGCGCCGCGCCCGCCGGUAACCCCAGAAUCUCUGUUCGAACCCGACGUUACUUCUGAGUGUUCUAAGCGAACUGUUAAAACUUUCAACAACGGAUCUCUUGGCUCUAGCAUCGAUGAAGAACGCAGCGAAACGCGAUAAGUAGUGUGAAUUGCAGAAUUCAGUGAAUCAUCGAAUCUUUGAACGCACAUGGCGCCCCCCGGCAUCCCGGGGGGCAUGCCUGUCCGAGCGUCGUUUCAACCCUCGAGCCCUCCGUGGCCCGGCGUUGGGGAUCUCCGGCUCCGGCCGUAGGCCCCGAAAUACAGUGGCGGACCCGCGACGGCCCCUCCUUUGCGCAGUAGCACUAGCCUCGCAUCGGGAGCCCGCGGGCGCUCCGGCCUCUAAACUCCACUUUUAAAGCCCGUCUCCGGCGGCACCAAGGUUGACCUCGGAUCAGGUAGGAAUACCCGCUGAACUUAAGCAUAUCAAUAAGCGGAGGAAAAGAAACCAACAGGGAUUGCCCUAGUAACGGCGAGUGAAGCGGCAACAGCUCAAAUUUGAAAUCUGGCUCCCUUGGGGGUCCGAGUUGUAAUUUGCAGAGGAUGCCUCGGGUGCGGGUUCCUUCCGAGUUCCCUGGAACGGGACGCCAUAGAGGGUGAGAG
rnacentral:rRNA from 1 species